CAAACAACUGCAGCUCAUGCAGGAUGCUGCUGCCUGCGUCCUCACUAGAACUAAGAAAGUGGAGCACAUCACCUCAAGAAUAGGCUUUAAAAUACUUCUGUUUAUCUAUAACAGAAUCUCUUUAACCGAUACAGAUUUGUCAUCAGUCUUUCAAAGGCCCAGACCUCUCAGGUCUUCUGGAUCAAAAUAAUAAUAAUAAUUUAACUUUAUUGAUCUCACACUGGAGAGAUUCACCUCUGCAUUUAACCCAUCCCCUUGGGGAGCAGUGGGCUGCCAUUGCGCGGGUCUUGUAAGUCCCCUUGCUGAGGGACCUAGAGUGCAGGCUGUGGGUAUCGAACCGGACACUUGCAACCUUGUCAGAGCACACUGCUAUAACCACUAGGCCAGGGGUCUUCAACGUUUUGAGAUCUGGGCAGGAGUGUCCACGUUCCGGGACCCCCUAAUUAUAUAUACAGGUAAAAGCCAGAAAAUUUGAAUAUUUUGAAAAACUUGAUUUAUUUCAGUAAUUGCAUUCAAAAGGUGCAACUUGUACAUUAUAUUUAUUCAUUGCACACAGACUGAUGCAUUCAAAUGUUUAUUUCAUUUAAUUUUGAUGAUUUGAAGGGGCAACAAAUGAAAAUCCAAAAUUCCAUGUGUCACAAAAUAUGAAUAUUGUGUAAGGGUUAAAUUUUGAAGACACCUGGUGCCACAAACUAAGCAGCUGAUUAACUCAAAACACCUGCAAAGGGCUUUAAAUGGUCUCUCAGUCCAGUUCUGAAGCCGACACAAACAUGGGGGAAACUUCAGAUUUGACAGCUGUCCAAAAGGCGACCAUCGACACAUUGCACAAGGAGGGAAAGACACAAAAGGUUAUUGCUGAAGAGGCUGGCUGUUCUCAGAGCUCUGUGUCCAAACACAUUAAUAGAGAGGCAAAGGGAAGGAAAAACUGUGGUCA